UCCAGGAGUUAACUCAGGACAAGCUGC
rnacentral:piRNA from 1 species